ACAUCGACACUUUGAACGCAUAUUGCGGCCAAGGGUCCGUCCUUUGGCCACGCCCGUCUGAGGGUCGGC
rnacentral:rRNA from 3 species